rnacentral:rRNA from 1 species
AGUGAACGCUGGCGGUAGGCCUAACACAUGCAAGUCGAACGGCAGCACAGUAAGAGCUUGCUCUUACGGGUGGCGAGUGGCGGACGGGUGAGGAAUACAUCGGAAUCUACUUUUUCGUGGGGGAUAACGUAGGGAAACUUACGCUAAUACCGCAUACGACAUACGGGUGAAAGCAGGGGAUCUUCGGACCUUGCGCGAUUGAAUGAGCCGAUGUCGGAUUAGCUAGUUGGCGGGGUAAAGGCCCACCAAGGCGACGAUCCGUAGCUGGUCUGAGAGGAUGAUCAGCCACACUGGAACUGAGGCACGGUCCAGACUCCUACGGGAGGCAGCAGUGGGGAAUAUUGGACAAUGGGCGCAAGCCUGAUCCAGCCAUACCGCGUAGGUGAAGAAGGCCUUCGGGUUGUAAAGCCCUUUUGUUGGGAAAGAAAAGCAGCAGGUUAAUACCCCGCUGUUCUGACGGUACCCAAAGAAUAAGCACCGGCUAACUUCGUG